UCCCUCCUGCUGAACUCUUCCUACCCGGGCUCUGAACACAUCCCUGAGCUGCAGAGCUGACGUCUGGGUGACAGUGAAACGGGGUAUUCAUUUGUACCAAAACAAACAAACAAACAAACAAAACCUGGAAUGACGGUGUGUGGAUUUCUUGUGUGCUUAUUCGUAGGAUUGAGAAAGGGUGAGGCUAAGGUCCCGAGCCUUCGUGAAGCAAUGGAGAAAGUGCCGUCCCAAGGCUCAGUUCCACACGGCGCUGUGAGGCUGAAGGGGCUCACUGGAAGUUCCCCUCACAGGACGCCACCUCACCUGAAACCCUCUUUUUCUGCUACCAUCCAAGGGACAAGAUCUCCUGAGUUGUCGAAGACUCACUCCGGAAGAAAACCCUCUCAGGCAGUUACUGAGGGACUGUGGUCUGGACUAGAACGUGUUUUUCUCAGUGACACCUCUAGAGGGCAGCACUCAACGGAGUCCCACAGACACCUCCCUGCAUUUCCUCCUCAGACACUGGGUGGAUGAUAUGGUAACACUGGGGAAUGCUUGGGUGUUCUCCUGGAAGCUCCUUAUUUUAAUCACCUGUUUACUUGUCUCCAUUCUUAUAGAUAUGUAGGCUACCCGAGGGCAGAGACUGAGUCUGUCUUGUUCACUGUCUACCUCCAGAACCUCACACAGAAUCUGGCACUUAGUAGGUGCACAACAAAAUAAUCAUUGAAUUAGUAUACUGAGUCUUUAACAGAGUCUCUUUCUGUUUAUUGAGUUGACACGAUGUAUCCAAAAGCAGCUGAAUGCACAACUCAAACUGUCAUCCAAGCACACAAAGAAGGCAUUGAUGUGAGUAUUAAACAGAUUUGUUUUUAUUGUGUUAAGGAUACAUUUAAAAGUAUUUUUCUAGUGACCUAGAUGAGAGGGUAUGAGGCAGUAUGAGAAGAUUUACAAGAUCACUGCUUAGUUUGUUAAAGACUGUCAUGCUCGUGGUUCAACAACUUAAUUUAAGGUCCUAAUGCGUUUAUAAGCUACAUGGUCCUUUCCAUAGCUCCUUCCCAUUGAAAGAGGUACAGUCAAUUUAGCAAAAAGCCACCCCCACAUGUUUCAGGGCCACAAGACUGCCUACUAGAUUCUAAGAAAAAUGGCAAGUCAUCCUCUUAUCACAGGGUAACUGGUUAAUAUGUUCCUUUUCAAGGUUGGCAUUAAAAGUUUAACAAAAUAUUUCAGCAGAUUUUGCUCUCUUUACAAGUCAGUAGAAACUGGCUUUUUGAAGACACUCACUUUUCAUGACUUGGAUGUAAGGACUAAAGCAGAUGAGAAAUCUCUGCUGGGAGCAUAGCUGGGAGGGGAUGUCUGUGAAGGGCAGGCUGAUGGCACUAUGGAAAGCUUCUAUUACUGGGUUGCCACAUAAAAUGCAGGGAACCCAGGAAAAUGUGCAGUUCAGGCAAAGAAUCAAUAUCUUUUUAGUAUAAGUAUGUCCCAAGCACUGUAGGUAACAUGAUUAUACAAAAAAAGUAUUGAUUGUUCAUCUGAAUUUCAUAUUUACUUGGGUGUCUUGUAUUUUAUCUGCCAAAUCUAGCCACCGUAUUUGCAUACUUUUUCCUCUCUGCGUCACUCAGGUUGCCCUUCUUGACCUCUGGGCCUUUGCACAUGGUAAUUGUCCUGACUGGAAUGCACUACUUUCACCUACCAUGGUAUUUUCUCUACUAUGUCUUCUUUCCCUACACUGUUUUGACAUGAUGUAUUCAAUAUCAGCUUCCCCACUAGACCCUGAGUUCCUGAGGGGAAAGCCUUCUUCUUGUUUGAUUCCAGUCCUCAUUGUCUGGCACAAAACCUGGUCAUUGUAGGAGCUCCUAAAAUAAGAUAGUUUUUAAAUUUACAUGGAAGAAUUCUAGCAAAUACAAAAGUAGACAGAAUAAUAUAACUAAGUUGAAAGUACCCAUGACCUGGAUUCACCGAUUGACAAAAGCCUUUCUUCAUCUACACCAUGCAGUGGGUUAUGUUGGCCCCCACAGAAGAUAGGUCCAUAUCCAAACCCCUGGAUCCUGUAAAUGUGACCUUAUUUGGAAAAAAGCUCUUUGCAGAUGAAGUUAAGGAACUUGAGAUGAGACCAUCCUGGUAUAUUUAAAUAGGCCCUAAAUCCAGUGAGAAGUGUACCCACAACAGAGAAGACACAGACACAAAGAGGGUGAGGUGCUGGAAGCCCCAUGCAGAAAGUAGAGUGAUGUGGCCAAGAUCCAAGGAAGUCCAGAAAUGCCAAGAGCCCCCAGAAGCUGUAGGAUGCAGGAAAGGAUUGUUCUCUAGAGCUUCCAGGGGAAUGUGGACCUCACAACUUGACUUCUGGCCUUCAGAAUUUCUAUUGUUUCAAGCCACCAUGUUUGUAGGAAUCUGUGACAGAAGCCACAAGAAAACAGUACAAACUUCUACUCCCCCCACUACCAAGGGAUUUUUUUGAAACAAAUUCCAGACAGCAUAUCAUUUCUUCUGUACAUACUACUGUUUAUCUCUAGAAAGGAAGAACUACCUGUUGAAACAUAAUCACACUAUUCUCUUAUCAUAUUAAAAUUCUAUAAUUCCUUAGUUUCAUCAAAGCUUCAGCAUUCUAGUUCAUGUAAGUGUCCCAUACCCGUAAUCACAGCACAGGGGAGCAGACACAGUGGCCCUCAGGUGUUCUUAGAGGCUCACUGGGGCUCUGAGGAGGGCACAGAGGACAGCCCAAUGCUCCGGAGAAGCAAUAGGGUAGAUUUAAUUGUGAUCACUGGGAAGGAGCUUGCCAGGCAGGGCUAGCAAAUGCACCCAGGCAGGAAGGCAAGAGGCUCCACCAUGCUCAGAGGGUUGAUUGGGCUGGAGAUCAAGGAGUGAGGACGGGUGUGAGGAUACCUUCUAUAUGCAGUCAGGACUCACUGCAGAAUUCUGUGAUUUUUUUUUCCAAUUUGUAUUUUAGAAAAGCUAUGCUGGUUGUAAGUGGAGAAGAGACUAGAGCAAAGUGAAGCUGCAGGAAAAAGCUGAGACAGGUUACAACGGGAGUGCCAGAGAGAUGUCACUUAAAAUGAGAACUUCUCAGGGUUUGAGAAAGGUGAGUCCCAAGCCCUCGUGAAGCAUUGGAGAAAGUGCCGCCCCGAGGUUCAGGUCCACACAGCGCUGUGAGGCUGAAGGGGCGCGCUAGAAGUUCCUUUCACAGGACGCCACCUCACCUGAAACCCUCCUUUUCUGCUGACACCCGAGGGACAAGAUCUUCUGAGUUUUUCCAUUACUUACUCUGGAGGAAAACCCUCAGGCAGUUAGUUACUGAGGGACUCUGGUCUGGACUGGGAAGUGUUUUUCUCAGUGACACCUCUAGAAGGCAGCACUUAGCGGAGUCCCACAGACACCUCCCAGCAUUUCCUGCUCAAACACUGGGAGGAUGGCCUGGUAACACUGGGGAAUGCCUGGGUGUUCUAGAAGCCCCCACCCCUGAUUUUAACCACGUGUUUUCUUAUCUGAGUCCUUGUAGACAUGUAUGUAGUCUGCCUUAGGGCAGGAAUUGUGUCUACCUUGUUCACUGCCAAUCCUCAGGACAGAACCUGGCACUUAAUAGGUGCACAACAAAAUAACCACUGGCUGAAUAUACUCAGUAUUUAACAGGCAGUUUGUCACAAUCCACUCCCUCCCUGACCUCAUUGUGGUUUAUAGUUUAUGUUUAAUGACAUUUAGUUUCCAUGUACUUAGCAUUUUAUUGUAUAAAUUUCUCAUAUAUAUAAAAAAUACACAUAAAAUACAAUGGUCCUCUUUGUUUCAAUCAUCUAGCUGCAGUAAUCACCAACCCAAGCCUGUCUUUCAUUUGUAUGCCCAGCUUCUCUCCUCCUCUGUCAUAAUAUGAAACAAAUCUGAGGUAUCAUAUUAUCUCAUCCUAAAUACUUCAGUGUGUAUCUCUGAAACAUAACAGAAACAUCAUACCUAACAUCACAAAAUGACACUAAAAAAUUUAACAGUAAUUCUUUAAUAUUAUCUAACAUUCAAUCAAUAUUCAGGUUUCUAAUUUUUAUGUGUCAUAAGUUAUAUUUUAUAGUUUGUUUAAAUCCUAAUGCAAAUAAGGUCCACUCAUUGUGAUUAGUUAAUUCUUUUCAAAAUAUAUUUUAAUUGUUCAUGUGUUCUUUUUCAUGUGCUCUUUAAUGGACAGAUUUUUAAAUUUUCAUUUGGUAAAAUUUGUCCAUUUUAAAAAAAUAACUGGGGAUGCUUUUAUUUGAGGCCAAAAUAUUCACAGGUCAUCUAGUAUGGAAGUCUCUUGGCUUACUAAAAUAUUUUGAUACAGUCAAUUAGGUCCAACUUAAGAUGACCUAACU
rnacentral:lncRNA from 1 species